rnacentral:rRNA from 1 species
UUAGGAAUAUUCGUCAAUGGGGGAAACCCUGAACGAGCAAUGCCGCGUGAGUGAUGAAGGUCCUCUGGAUUGUAAAACUCUUUUAUUAGGGACGAACGACUCGAAUAGGAAAUGAUUCGAGAGUGACUGUACCUUUUGAAUAAGCCCCGGCUAACUACGUGCCAGCAGCCGCGGUAAUACGUAGGGGGCGAGCGUUAUCCGGAUUUAUUGGGUGUAAAGCGUGUGUAGGCGGUUUCUUAAGUCCAAGGUUCAAGGCUGAAGCUCAACUUCAGUUUGCCUAGGAAACUGGGUCACUUGAGUAUGGUAGAGGCAAAUGGAAUUUCUAGUGUAGCGGUAGAAUGCGUAGAUAUUAGAAGGAACACCAGUGGCGAAGGCGAUUUGCUGGGCCAUUACUGACGCUGAGACACGAAAGCGUGGGGAGCAAAUAGG